GACAAGUUGCUAGCCAUCGGCCCUGGGAUGGCUCCCACAGGGAGCGAAGGGGCCGCCUCUCGGUUGAUGCCUCCAUCAUCACCUGCUGCUUUAUUUAAAGAUCUCCUGGAAGAACUCUUAGCUUAUCCAGAGCGUACUUUAAAAAGAGAACUGGCUUCUUAAAAGAUCAUGAGUAUGCCAUACAUACUUGAACAAAAGACUCGAGGCCAGUUAUAAUAAAGAAGUCAUUACCUUGGGAAGAAAGGAGGUGGAAAAUGCAAUCUGGAGUGUUCCUGGGGAGCUCUGCUGUGUAAACCUUGGCUUUACAGUGAGAAGACGGGCUGAUCACAGAUGUGAACCGUCAGGUAACCAGGGCUGCAGUGAGAGCCACAGAUUUCAUGGGAAGUGGAAGAGGAGAUGGAAAGAGG
rnacentral:lncRNA from 1 species